rnacentral:rRNA from 1 species
CCUACGGGUUGCAGCAGUGGGGAAUAUUGCGCAAUGGGCGAAAGCCUGACGCCGCGACGCCGCGUGGGGGAUGACGGCCUUCGGGUUGUAAACCUCUUUCAGCAGGGACGAAGCGAAAGUGACGGUACCUGCAGAAGAAGCACCGGCCAACUACGUGCCAGCAGCCGCGGUAAUACGUAGGGUGCAAGCGUUGUCCGGAAUUAUUGGGCGUAAAGAGCUCGUAGGCGGUUUGUUGCGUCGGCUGUGAAAACCUGAGGCUCAACCUCAGGCCUGCAGUCGAUACGAGCAGGCUAGAGUGUUGCAGGGGAGACUGGAAUUCCUGGUGUAGCGGUGAAAUGCGCAGAUAUCAGGAGGAAUACCGGUGGCGAAGGCGGGUCUCUGGGCAACAACUGACGCUGAGGAGCGAAAGCGUGGGGAGCGAACAGGAUUAGAUACCCUUGUAGUC